GGUUGACCUCGGAUCAGGUAGGGAUACCCGCUGAACUUAAGCAUAUCAAUAAGCGGAGGAAAAGAAACCAACCGGGAUUGCCUCAGUAACGGCGAGUGAAGCGGCAAGAGCUCAAAUUUGAAAGCUGGCUCCUUCGGAGUCCGCAUUGUAAUUUGCAGAGGAUGCUUUGGGUGCGGCCCCCGUCUAAGUGCCCUGGAACGGGCCGUCAGAGAGGGUGAGAAUCCCGUCU
rnacentral:rRNA from 4 species